rnacentral:rRNA from 1 species
CGACCUCAACUCAUACGUGACUACCCCCUGAUUUUAAUCAUAUUAAUAAGCGGAGGAAAAAAAACUAACGNGG